rnacentral:rRNA from 1 species
AUCUACAGCCAUACUUCCCUGAACAUGCCUGACCUCAGAAGCGAAGCAAGGUUAGUCCUGGUUAGUACUUGGAUGGGAGAAAUGCAAUCUUGCAUCUACCUAUGGAAUCAGCUCUGCAUUUC